GACUCCUCAGCUAGGUAGACAACGAUUAGGGUGUGAACUCGCCGUGAGAACUCACCUGUACGUCUUGUGACGUCAGAACUAACAGGCGUCGGUUCCUGGAGAGUCCAAGAGCCUUGCAGAGACCUUCAUCAGAGACCUUAAAGACUGGGAAAAAGUCGCCAACCUCUCCCAAGACACUUCUGGAAAAGUUCAGGGUCAGACCAGGCAUGGACGGAAGAGAACAGGAGACAAUGGAGGAAGACGAGGAGUCCGGGUCAGAGGAUUCCGGGUCUGAAGAGUCGAGUUGGGAG